rnacentral:rRNA from 1 species
GUGGGGAAUUGUUCGCAAUGGGCGCAAGCCUGACGACGCAACGCCGCGUGGAGGAUGAAGACCUUCGGGUCGUAAACUCCUUUCGAUCGAGACGAACGGCCAUCGGGAUAACACCCUGAUGGAGUGACGGUACCGAGAGAAGAAGCCCCGGCUAACUCCGUGCCAGCAGCCGCGGUAAUACGGGGGGGGCAAGCGUUGUUCGGAAUUACUGGGCGUAAAGGGCUCGUAGGCGGCCAACUAAGUCAUACGUGAAAUCCCUCGGCUUAACCGGGGAACUGCGUCUGAUACUGGAUGGCUUGAGUUCGGGAGAGGGAUGCGGAAUUCCAGGUGUAGCGGUGAAAUGCGUAGAUAUCUGGAGGAACACCGGUGGCGAAGGCGGCAUCCUGGACCGAUACUGACGCUGAGGAGCGAAAGCCAGGGGAGCAAACGGGAUUAGAAACCCGUGUAGUCC